GAUGAACGCUGGCGGCGUGCCUAAUACAUGCAAGUCGAGCGAACAGACGAGGAGCUUGCUCCUCUGACGUUAGCGGCGGACGUGUGAGUAACACGUGGAUAACCUACCUAUAAGACUGGGAUAACUUCGGGAAACCGGAGCUAAUACCGGAUAAUAUAUUGAACCGCAUGGUUCAAUAGUGAAAGACGGUUUUGCUGUCACUUAUAGAUGGAUCCGCGCCGCAUUAGCUAGUUGGUAAGGUAACGGCUUACCAAGGCAACGAUGCGUAGCCGACCUGAGAGGGUGAUCGGCCACACUGGAACUGAGACACGGCCCAGACUCCUACGGGAGGCAGCAGUAGGGAAUCUUCCGCAAUGGGCGAAAGCUUGACGGAGCAACGCCGCGUGAGUGAUGAAGGUCUUCGGAUCGUAAAACUCUGUUAUUAGGGAAGAACAAAUGUGUAAGUAACUAUGCACGUCUUGACGGUACCUGAUCAGAAAGCCACGGCUAACUACGUG
rnacentral:rRNA from 1 species